rnacentral:snoRNA from 1 species
UGGACAUGACCAUAAAAAAACCACUCACUAGGUUUCUGUGUGCUACUUUGCUAGUUAUCAACCUGCUGGGAACGUUU